UACGUAGGGUGCAGGCGUUAAUCGGAAUUACUGGGCGUAAAGCGUGCGCAGGCGGUUUGGUAAGACAGGUGUGAAAUCCCCGGGCUUAACCUGGGAACUGCGCUUGUAACUGGCAAGCUUGAGUGUGGCAGAGGGGGGUGGAAUUCCACGUGUAGCAGUGAAAUGCGUAGAGAUGUGGAGGAACACCGAUGGCGAAGGCAGCCCCCUGGGCUAACACUGACGCUCAUGCACGAAAGCGUGGGGAGCAAACAGG
rnacentral:rRNA from 1 species